AUUGAGGACUUGUUCUCAGUAAGCAUUCCCUUGCAAUAUGAAUUAAAUCAUUAUUUCAGGUUAGAGGACAUUAGGACAAAUCAUGAUAACGAUGAGUAUCAAGGAUUGUUCAACCAAUCAUCGAAAUAUUCAUUUUUCAUAAAGUAAGUUAUUUCUUCUUAGCAAGUUCCUUUUUCAACAAUUGUAAAUCGGAUUGAAUGUCUUCCUCGGUAGCACCGCUUAAGCCCUUUUCCACGGCUUUUUCACGAUCUCUUUCAGCACGCUCGGAGGCUCGGGGAUCUCGUUCACGACCGUUCGUAGGGUUAGCGUUUGCCAUAGAGAGAAGAGGAGAGAAUAAAGAGGCUUCGGCUGAAGUAGGUUUCACGGAAUUUACUGAGUUGCGAACGGCAUUCUUCACGGAUUGUGGGAUAACUGCAGUUUCAUCGGUGGGAAAUAAUAAGUAGUCAUCAAAAAAAUUUAAAGAAGGUAAUUGUUGUGUAUUUUGUUGAUUUCCCGCAUUACGACGAUGCCGAAGCUUACGACGAUCAAUGAACUGAGAAGAGGCAUCAUGGAGCAGUAGGGUCGAGGAUUCACUCCCAAUGUCAAACAUAUCCUUUGCUUCGUAAAUUUUUCUCUUUUUCUCAUUCAAAUGGGAAAGCACCAUUUCUUUUAAAGUUUUACAACGAUAUUCGUACUCCUCCUUGGCUGCUUUCAUCUCCACUUCGUAUUCCUCUUGUGCCCGAUUCACCAAAAACGUUCUCCAACGCUCUGCAAUUUCCAAUUCCUCAUCUCUACUCCUUCUAAGUUCAUCUGCCAAAUCUAAAAGAGUUUUACAAGUUCCGUUACGAAUAGAUUCCAAUUCAGCUUCCAGUUCUGCUUUUUUGGCUCGGAACUCACUAGCUGUAAGUGGAUUGUUCAAUAAAGGAUCCAGUUCUUCUUUUUCAUUGUCAAAGACUCUCGAAAGGACGUCCAUGACGCUUUAACUCUUUUACCACCUAUUUGUUCGUGACAAAACAAUUUUGUCCUUCUUCCAGCUACUGACGAAGGAUUUUAAGGGUAAGG